rnacentral:rRNA from 1 species
ACGCUCGACACCUACGGGAGACAGCAGUGGGGAAUAUUGCACAAUGGGGGAAACCCUGAUGCAGCAACGCCGCGUGAAGGAAGACGGUUUUCGGAUUGUAAACUUCUGUUCUUAGUGAAGAUAGUGACGGUAGCUAAGGAGCAAGCCACGGCUAACUACGUGCCAGCGGCCGCGGUAAUCUGAGCGGGCUGGCAAGGC